AUGAUGACUCUCGGCAACAGAUAUCUCGGCUCUCGCAUCGAUGAAGAACGUAGCGAAAUGUGAUACCUGGUGUGAAUUGUAGAAUCCCAUGAGCCAUCGAGUCUUUGAAUGCAAGUUGCACUCGAGGCCACCCGGUCGAGGGCACGCCUGCCUGGGCGUCACUC
rnacentral:rRNA from 1 species